UGUGAUUUUUGUGUGUAUGAGAUUUGAAUC
rnacentral:piRNA from 1 species